UACGGGGGGAGCAAGCGUUGUUCGGAUUUACUGGGCGUAAAGGGCGCGUCGGCGGCCACCGCAAGUCGGUUGUGAAAUCUCCGGGCUUAACCCGGAAAGGUCAAUCGAUACUGCGGGGCUAGAGUGCAGAAGGGGCAACUGGAAUUCUCGGUGUAGCAGUGAAAUGCGUAGAUAUCAAGUGGAACACCAGUGGCGAAGGCGAGUCUCUGGACAUUUCCUGACGCUGAGGCACGAAAGCCAGGGGAGCAAACGGG
rnacentral:rRNA from 1 species